rnacentral:rRNA from 1 species
UACAGAGGUCCCAAGCGUUGUUCGGAUUCAUUGGGCGUAAAGGGUGCGUAGGCGGCGCGGCAAGUCGGGUGUGAAAUCUCGGAGCUUAACUCCGAAACUGCAUUCGAUACUGCCGUGCUUGAGGACUGGAGAGGAGACUGGAAUUUACGGUGUAGCGGUGAAAUGCGUAGAUAUCGUAAGGAAGACCAGUGGCGAAGGCGGGUCUCUGGACAGUUCCUGACGCUGAGGCACGAAGGCCAGGGGAGCAAACGGG